ensembl:lncRNA
GUUUGCUUCUUUACACUGCUGUUAACAGUUUAGGCUGUUAGAUUGUUCCAGAUAAGACAAGUACAAGAUUCUUCAGAGCCGUUCUACCACGAGCCUGACAGGAAGAACUCCAACAGUUACUGAAUGUUCCUGUGGUCCCCUCAAGGCUACAGGAGGAGUCCUACAAGGACGAGGCGGUCCACCUGUUGGCAGCCAGUUGCUGCGGUUGAAAGCCAACACUGACUACGUGGACUUCUACUGGACCACACGGAGGCCUUCAAACUGGACCAAAAAGUUCACCGACUCCCCGACUCGUGGGUCUGAGGACAGUGGUAUAUUCUUCCGAACCAACUUCUCAGGUCUACAUUUCAGGUGGAAUAUUCCUCCAUACUAACUUUUUUUGGUCUACAUUGAAGGAUUUUUUUCUAAACCACCCUUUCGGGUCUAUAUUUGGGGUUUUAGGUGGAAUAUUCCUUUUAACCAGCCCCUCAGGUCUCUUUGAGGAUUUUGGAUGGAAUACUCGGUUAAACCAACAUUUUAGGUGCAUGUCCAAGAAUUUUUGGUGGAAUGUUCCUUUAAGGUGGAUGUGUGAGGACCUUGUAGGUGGAAUACUUCCUGAAGCCAACCUUUUAGGUCAACAUUCAAAGAUUUAAGGUGGAAUAUUCCUUUAAAUCGACCUAAAUGUCAUGUUUUGAUCAUUAUCAAGUGAGAAACCUCAAUCCAGACUCCUCAUAAUGACGUUUGAGAUUUAUGCUGCUGUUAUUUGUUUAGUCCAGACUAAAUGACAGAAAUCCACAACGGUAAUUUUAUUUCAGGACUCUGUUAUUAAAUGUCAAAGCAAUCCAUGUGACUGUAAAAACUCAGCAGCUUUACAAACUCUAAGAUUAAACUCUCCACAAGGAUCCAAAAUAAGUUGGACUUCUACAUGAGAGCUUUAAUUAUUCUUCAUCUACUUCCUGAAAAGUUUGGUCAAUAAAAAAGACAAAAACUAAUAUUUUCAGCUGAACUAAAGACAGACUUUGUGAUUUUUCUGCUCACAUGUGUUGUUGUAAACUUACUCUUGCAAAUAAAUAGCCGCCUAACCCCCUGGAAACCAGCGUUUGUCCUGUUUUUGUGUUGCGACUCUAGACAGCCGGGUCGUAAUGUUUUUUGAGCAACACACCAUACUAUGAUGUUUUUACAAUGAUGGUUCUACUAUGAAACCAGUUUGACAUAUUCAGGCAUUCUUUGUGUGAAAACUCAGAGAUUUCAGGGAUCAGAAGGUGGUUUUCAACUUUCUUUGUUAACUUUCUGCUUCAACUUUAAACUAAAUUUCCUUGACUAACCCCGCCCUCUGGACUUCCAGUAAGCUGUGUUCCUAUUGGCUGUCCAGGUGGCUGCUUGGUAUUAUCAGGAACACCUGAGCAGCGCCGUGUCUUCCUGCUUUAUUUAGCUGCAGGCAAACAUUUCCUCUGCUUCUCUUCACUGAAUUGAGUUUGGCUCCGUUGCUUUAGUUUGUUCUUUAGGCGUUGGCUUGCAGCUUCCAGCUUCCAGCAGUAAAAUCGUCUUUAAUGUGUUUCUUGGUGUGUUUGAGGGCUUUGUACUGGAUAGUUGUCUUGGUAAAUGUGGUUCUUUACCCACAUGGUGCUAAUGUGUGCAGUGAUUAGUGGAUUUGGUGCAGCUGAGUUGUGUCUUUAUCUUGGCUGUAGUGAGUCUUUAGAGGUUUUUGGUCAGACACAUUCUGUAUUCUUGUUUGAGAACCAACGUUGGUUGUCCAGAAGGUAAGAGUUCUUGUCCUGAUUCUCUGUUCUCAGAGGUUCUCUGGUAGGCUGCAGGAGACUUGAGCGUUGUGGUUGUGCUAGUUUGGUUUUUGUAUGGUUUCAUUUGGACGACUAUCUUGAGGCCCCUCGAUGUGGGUUAGUGAGGUUUUCUGGAACAGUUCUACAAAGCAACCUGCAGCAGAAGAGACUUUGAGAGAUUUUAGGAAGUUCUGGAGACCAGACUUUAGAGCAACAGAAACAUUUGUCAGCAGUUUGAGCAGGAGAAGGUGAGCUUCAGAGUAGAAAUGAGACGGAAACCUUCUUGACCCGUGUGGUGAGGUCCUGUACAAAGAGUUUGAGCAGGUUGUGAAGAGUCUGUCGUUCUUUGGUCUGAAAGCACAAGAAGAGUCGACUCAUUAAAGGAGAAAACAGGAGAUAUUGUUGGUUCUUCUGUCACUCUGCAGUUUCCAGUUUCCUUAGACUGAAUAUCAAG